UAAUAAGUGUUUUAUGGCACUUUUUAAAUCCAUAUCCACCUUGUGUGCAAUGUCAGUCGAUCUUCUUCAUGGAGAUCGACCUAACAUCAACCUUUAUCUUUUAACUCUUUGUCUGAAAAAUAUUAUGAAUAAACAAUUCAAAAUA
rnacentral:misc_RNA from 1 species